rnacentral:rRNA from 1 species
GACAGAGGGUGCAAACGUUGUUCGGAAUUACUGGGCGUAAAGGGCGCGUAGGCGGCCUGUUAAGUCAGACGUGAAAUCCCCGGGCUCAACCCGGGAACUGCGUCUGAUACUGGCAGGCUUGAAUCCGGGAGAGGGAUGCGGAAUUCCAGGUGUAGCGGUGAAAUGCGUAGAUAUCUGGAGGAACACCGGUGGCGAAGGCGGCAUCCUGGACCGGCAUUGACGCUGAGGCGCGAAAGCCAGGGGAGCAAAGCGGG